AUCAAACAUGACUUUGAUCAGCCUCAGCAUCUUGCUCUUCAUCCUCACUCACGAAUCCAGUGGACAAGUCACUGUGACUCAGACUCCAGAGCUGAUAUCAGCUUCCUCAGGACAGACAGUCACUAUAAACUGUAAAACCAGCAGCCCAGUGUAUGAUGCUGGGACCUCUUAUCCUCGCAUGGCCUGGUACCAGCAGAAACCUGGAGAAGCUCCUAAACUCAUGAUCUAUAAUGCAAAUACCCGUAUCUCUGGGACUCCGUCUCGAUUCACUGGCAGUGGAUCUAGUACUGACUUCACUCUGACCAUCAGUGGAGUCCAGGCUGAAGAUGCAGGAGAUUAUUACUGUCAGAGUUUCCACUACCCCAAUAGUCAACAUGUGUUCACACAGUGAUACAGAGCCGUACAAAAACCUCCCUCAGUCAGACUGCACAGUG